AUACGGAGGGUGCAAGCGUUAAUCGGAAUUACUGGGCGUAAAGCGCGCGUAGGCGGCUUUGUCAGUCGGAUGUGAAAGCCCUGGGCUUAACCUGGGAAUGGCAUUCGAUACUGCCAGGCUAGAGUAUGGGAGAGGGAAGUGGAAUUUCCGGUGUAGCGGUGAAAUGCGUAGAUAUCGGAAGGAACACCAGUGGCGAAGGCGACUUCCUGGCCCAAUACUGACGCUGAGGUGCGAAAGCGUGGGGAGCGAACAGGAUUAGAUACCCUAGUAGUCC
rnacentral:rRNA from 1 species